AUUGAACGCUGGCGGCAGGCCUAACAAAUGCAAGUCGAGCGGAGCGGCGGACGGGUGAGUACUGCCUAGUAAUCUGCCUGGUAGUGGGGGACAACGCCCGGAUACGGGCGCUAAUAACGCAUACUAUCAGUUGAGUCUAGGUCGGGUUAGCUAGUUGGUGGGGCAAAGGCUUACCAAGGCGACGAUCCGUAACUGGUCUGAGAGGAUGAUCAGUCAAUCUGGAACUGAGACACGGUCCAGACUCCUACGGGAGGCAGCAGUGGGGAAUAUUGGACAAUGGGCGAAAGCCUGAUCCAGCCAUGCCGCGUGUGUGAAGAAGGUCUUCGGAUUGUAAAGCACUUUAAGUUGGGAGGCGUUACCAACAGAAUAAGCACCGGCUAACUUCGUGCCAGCAGCCGCGGUAAUAC
rnacentral:rRNA from 1 species